AGGAACAGACCCCUGCUCAGUUCGGACUCCUGUCCUGUCCCAGGAUUCCCUGUCACCUCCCCUGGAGUAGGACAUUUCUCAGGUUGAAGGCUGAGGCAAUGUGGCCUCCGCCUCUCUCCACCACAUGGCAAAGUGAGAGCUUGGGGCCAUCAGCUCAUUGAGGACACCUGGGAGCAAAGGCUCCGUCCCUGCCUGAGGCCUGUGUGCUCAGACACACUCUCCACCUGCUCAGCCCAGGUAGCCAGGUCUCACUGUGGACAGGGCACGGGCACGGGGAAGUUGUCAUCUCAGAGUCCUGCUGCUUCACUGAUGGCAGAGAGCUCAGGGACCAGGGGUGAGCAUCGCGGACCCUGGAAGGAUGGCGGAGCUGGUCCCCACCACAGGUGUCAGUGUGAAGCCAUCAGGACAGAGCUGGCUUCCUGAAAGGGGCUGCUGUUCUGCACAACCCCAGGGACCUGCUUUGUGGAACAGCAGCCCCUGCAGAGGCCUCUCGCUGGCUGGAAGAAAGCGCCGGGUCUGCUGCUGGGAGGGCCGCAAAGCCCAGACUCGGCAAAGCAGGCAGAGCCGCGGCCAAGGGCAGGACAGAAGCGACGAGCCUGAGAGCAGGGGCAGCUGCCCGAGGCCCCGCUGGAGACAGGCGCCUCAGACUCAAGGCUUGCAGGGGCUCUGCACCCCCACCGCUCCUGUGUGACACACAGUGGCAUGUCCUUACUGGAACAGGUCAUAGGCACAAUACCGUCUCAAGGGCUUGGGCUGCAGGCAGAGAUGCUUGUCCUCUAAGCCCAUUUCUGUUACCUGCUGCUGAGUGGCUGAGGAUCAACCUCCCCAUGUCCACGCUCCUGAGCAGAAGCCAAACCGGGGUGUCCGGCUGCUAUGACUGUGUCAUCCAUCAGUUGCCAGUGUUCCCUGGGUGUCCAGGGUCCACCCACACUCUCUAUCACCAGAGCGAGCACAUCUCUGGCACGGAGACAGAAGUUGCUGCCAUGGGCUCCCAGCCAGGGGACAGGCUCAGUUCCUCAGGGGGUGGGUCCGUGCAGCCGCCUCCCCGGCAGAGUCUCCCCGGAUCACUGAGAUCAUCUGCUUCCUGCUGCACUGCAGGUCCUGGGUGUCCUGAGCCCAGCUCAGCUCUGCCAGCACCUCUGCAGCCCAACAGCCCGUUCUCCACCCCCUCCUGCCUCACAGGACUGAGCUGCAGGGAACAAUAGAGGGACCCUGCUCUCUCUGUCCCCAGUGGCUCUUCCCAUCAUCACCCCAGUCCUUAGGACUGUCCAUCUGCACCCGCCCAUAGACCACAAAGAUGUCCUCUGGGGACAGUCACAGGACACAAACUGAUUGUCAAUGUUGUGCACAUGUUGCGGACAGUUUCUGCAGAAAUGAGCACCUCCUGCCAGUACCAGGAGGCCACAAGCAAGGUGAGCUCUAAGAGGCCACUGGGGAGCUACACACACAGAGUGUGGACAGGGACAGUGGAUUUGCGGUCGUUCUGCUGGGUCACACCCUGGUGAGGUCUCUGGGAACCAGUCCGGUUCCCUGCAGCUGGCGGUCACUGAUCAGGACAGCAAGCUGGGAGGGUGUGCUACCCGCUGGCCUGUGCACAAAACAGGCCCAUGUGUGUGCAUGUGUGUGUGUGUGUGUGUGUGUGCACUCACAUGCUGCUGUUGCGAGGGGUAUUGCCAGUGUCAAAUGUUCCAAACCCAGAGCUUUUCACUUUUCCUACCCUCCCUCCUCCUGCUGCCUCCAGCGCCCUGCACUGUAAUAAGAAUAAGGGUGAGGAUACUGACGGUGGUGGGAGGAGGAAUGAACAUUCAUUCCCACGUGCUUAAUACACGGCAAGCGCUACUCACAGCACUUCUUGUUAUUAAAUCCUUUGAUCCCAGCCACUGCACAAUCACACAUUUUCAGCAUCACCCACUUCACAGCUGGGGAGUCUCUGGCCCAGAUUUCUACAGAUGGGACGACAUGCAGCGAGAACAACUGGCCUGUGGUCACAACCAGACAGCGGCCGACCCAGGAGCAGAACCCUAGCUCCCCUGCCAUGGAGGGAGCAAGGGGAGUGCCCCACCUCUGUCCACACACAGGGAGGACAGUGCACCUGAUGAAAGAGGAGAGAGUGGUGACAAGAGGGACCCGGAGCCCUGGCAUGGGAGGAGAGGCAGGGCAGGGAUGGCUGGAGCAUCAGGCUCUGAGCUGAGUGUCCUGGAUGGACUCUUGACCACACUCACUGCUGUCUCUGGACUGUGGCAAAAUCAUGUCACCUCCUGACCUUGGUUCGUUCAUGAGUAGACGGGACGGAGAUUGUGCCUUAAGAAAAUGGUUGCUAUGGGGUUAUGAUGAAUGCCCUUUUAGGAUGGUGAAUAUAAAACCCUCAGCAGUGUCUGGCAUGUAUCUGGUGCUCAGAGGCAGUCACUGUGCAUGAACUAGUGACACAGGUAAGGUGUCGUUCCUCCUGUGGACACCAGGGGGCACUGUGGGCCUUGGCUUGGGGACCAGAAUAACUCCAGUUCCCUGGUAGAGCUCAGGUGCAAAGGGCAGGACUGCUGCUCCCUGGGAUCACCUGUCUAUUAGGUGACCUCCGUGCUCCACACAUGAAAACCUCCUUCUCCUGCCUUGGAACCUGGAAAACUGCCAGCCUGGGGCCCUCAGGCUCAGCGCUCAGACUAGGGCUCAGAGAGACACUGGGGGAUGGGCAGGGCUCUGUGCUCAGUGCUCACCAGGGAGCAGCCC